CUCAAUUGUCUCAAGGCGAUUCAGUGGUGAGGGAUUGUGUGCUGGGUCCAUAGUUUGGCCAGAUUGUACUGUAACGGGUAUUGACUGGACCCAAUUGCAGCACAAACAAGCAGGUUCACUUUAACAACAGUCUUUAUUGAACACCAAAUCCAAUGAAGCAGCAGAUUAUAGCAGGUGGGUAUGGCAGGAUUCGAACUCGGGUCUUCCGGGUGAUAGGCGAGCAGAUUAGCAGUGGACCACAGGUCAGGCAAGAGUUUUGAACUCGUGAGCAGGGAAUUGUCCACAGUCUUAAUUUGCUCUACGAGUGUAGUGAAGGGGAAAACGCUCAACUCACAGCUGGAGGAAGAUUUCUUGGAGAGUGGUUCAGGUGAGGACUGGGUGAGGAUCCAGAGCUUGCAGAG
rnacentral:lncRNA from 1 species